rnacentral:rRNA from 2 species
GUCGAGCGAAUGGAUUAAGAGCUUGCUCUUAUGAAGUUAGCGGCGGACGGGUGAGUAACACGUGGGUAACCUGCCCAUAAGACUGGGAUAACUCCGGGAAACCGGGGCUAAUACCGGAUAACAUUUUGAACCGCAUGGUUCGAAAUUGAAAGGCGGCUUCGGCUGUCACUUAUGGAUGGACCCGCGUCGCAUUAGCUAGUUGGUGAGGUAACGGCUCACCAAGGCAACGAUGCGUAGCCGACCUGAGAGGGUGAUCGGCCACACUGGGACUGAGACACGGCCCAGACUCCUACGGGAGGCAGCAGUAGGGAAUCUUCCGCAAUGGACGAAAGUCUGACGGAGCAACGCCSCGUGAGUGAUGAAGGCUUUCGGGUCGUAAAACUCUGUUGUUAGGGAAAAACAAGUGCUAGUUGAAUAAGCUGGCACCUUGACGGUACCUAACCAGAAAGCCACGGCUAACUACGUGCCAGCAGCCGCGGUAAUACGUAGGUGGCAAGCGUUAUCCGGAAUUAUUGGGCGUAAAGCGCGCGCAG